GAUGAAGAACGUAGUGAAAUGCGAUAAGUAAUGUGAAUUGCAGAAUUCAGUGAAUCAUCGAAUCUUUGAACGCACAUUGCGCCCGCCAGCACUCUGGUGGGCAUGCCUGUUCGAGCGUCAUUUCAACCAUCAAGCCCCCAGGGGCUUGUGCUGGGGCCCUGCGGCUGCCCGCAGGCCCUGAAAACCAGUGGCGGGCUCGCUAGUCACACCGAGCGCAGUAGCACAUCUCGCUCAGGGCGUGCGGCGGGCUCCUGCCGUGAAACCCCCCACUGUAACCCCAAAGGUUGACCUCGGAUCAGGUAGGAAUACCCGCUGAACUUAAGCAUAUCAAUAAGCGGAGGA
rnacentral:misc_RNA from 1 species